rnacentral:misc_RNA from 1 species
GAUGAAGAACGUAGCGAAAUGCGAUAAGUAAUGUGAAUUGCAGAAUUCAGUGAAUCAUCGAAUCUUUGAACGCACCUUGCGCCCUAUGGCCAUUCCGAAGGGCAUGCCUGUUUGAGUAUCAUGAACACCUCAACUCUCAUGGCUCGCCAUGAUGAGCUUGGACUUUGGGGGUCUUGCUGGCCUGUGGUCGGCUCCUCUCAAAUGGAUCAGCUUGCCAGUGUUUGGUGGCAUCACAGGUGUGAUAACUAUCUGCGCUUGUGGUUUUCCAUCAGAUAACCUUCAGUGAUGGAGGUUCGCUGGAGCUCAUAAACGUCUCCCCUAAGCGGGGACAGCCCUUUGAAUGUUUGAUCUCAAAUCAGGUAGGACUACCCGCUGAACUUAAGCAUAUCAAUAAGCGGAGGA